UACGUAGGGUGCAAGCGUUGUCCGGAAUUACUGGGCGUAAAGAGCUCGUAGGUGGUUUGGUAGGUCCGUUGUGAAAACUCGAGGCUCAACCUCGAGACGCCGAUGGAAACCAUCAGACUAGAGUCCGGAAGAGGAGAGUGGAAUUCCUGGUGUAGCGGUGAAAUGCGCAGAUAUCAGGAAGAACACCCGUGGCUAAGGCGGCUCUCUAGUACGGUACUGACGCUGAGACGCGAAAGCGUGGGGAGCGAACAGG
rnacentral:rRNA from 1 species